rnacentral:rRNA from 1 species
GCCCCCCUCAAGAUGAGAUUUCCCAACUAGUAAGACCCCUUGAAGACGACGAGGUAGAUAGGUUGGAGGUGGAAGUGCAGCAAUGCAUGGAGCUGACCAAUACUAAUCGGUCGAGGGCUUAUCCAAAA